rnacentral:rRNA from 1 species
GACGAACGCUGGCGGCGUGCUUAACACAUGCAAGUCGAACGAUGAAGCCGGAGCUUGCUCUGGUGAAUUAGUGGCGAACGGGUGAGUAACACGUGAGUAACCUGCCCUUGACUCUGGGAUAACUGCUAGAAAUGGUAGCUAAUACCGGAUACGACCCUCGGAGGCAUCUCCAGGGGGUGGAAAGAAUUUCGGUCAAGGAUGGACUCGCGGCCUAUCAGCUAGUUGGUGAGGUAAUGGCUCACCAAGGCGACGACGGGUAGCCGGCCUGAGGGGGUGACCGGCCACACUGGGACUGGGGCACGGCCCAGACUCCUACGGGAGGCAGCAGUGGGGAAUAUUGCACAAUGGGCGCAAGCCUGAUGCAGCAACGCCGCGUGAGGGAUGACGGCCUUCGGGUUGUAAACCUCUUUUAGUAGGGAAGAAGCGAAAGUGACGGUACCUGCAGAAAAAGCACCGGCUAACUACGUGCCAGCCGCCGCGGUAA